rnacentral:siRNA from 1 species
GACGAAAUUCGAGCAGCUACGUC